UACGGGGGGAGCAAGCGUUGUUCGGAUUUACUGGGCGUAAAGGGCGCGUAGGCGGCGCAACAAGUCACUUGUGAAAUCUCCGGGCUUAACCCGGAGCGGUCAAGUGAUACUGUCGUGCUAGAGUGCGGAAGGGGCUACUGGAAUUCUCGGUGUAGCGGUGAAAUGCGUAGAUAUCGAGAGGGAACACCUGGCGGCGAAGGCGGGUAGCUGGGCCGACACUGACCGGCUGAUGCGCGAAAGCCAGGGGAGCGAACGGG
rnacentral:rRNA from 1 species